AUACCAUAAUGAGGACAUCUCCUGAGUAACUCUUUAAAUCCUUCUCAUGCAUCAUACAAACUCUCAUUUUCAAGUUGAUGGAAAGAUAUGAUAUUGUUCCUCAAUUU
rnacentral:snoRNA from 1 species